rnacentral:lncRNA from 1 species
AUCUAUCCCAGUGCUUAGUACAGUGCCUGGCACAUAGUAAGCGCUUAGCAAGUACCGUAGAAACUGGUUCUUAAGGCUGUGUCUGGACCCCGUACCGGACCUGUUAAGGGUGAUUAAGCACUGACUGUGUGCCCAAAACUCUGCUAGGCACCGGGGCAGGUACAAGAAACGUGGACUGUAAACUGUGUCCAACCUGAUUAUUUUCUAUCUACCCCGGAACUCGAUAGAGUGCUUGGCACUGAGUAAGCGCUUAACAAAUACCACCCGUUAUUAGACAAGAUAGAACUCAGUCCCUGUCUCAAAUACGCGCUCACGGUCUAAGCGGGAGGGAGGACAGGUAUUUAAUCCCCAUUUUACGGUUGAAGAAGCAGGCAAAGAAGUCAGGUGACUUGCCCAAGGUCACACGGAUUGCCAAUAGAGUCAGGAUUCGAAUUUGGGUCUUCUGACGCCCCGGCCCUUGCUCAUUCUACUGGACCGUGCUGCUUCUCGAUGUUUACAUAACAGUAUACAACCUUACUUUUCCCAGGGGCUAAUCCAAAGGAUUGCCACGUUUCUGUUAGUUUAUCUGCACUGGUAAAUACGCCGAGUUCUGCGAUGAGGCAAUUCAGUUAGGCGGCGAUGGGGUGGAGUUAGGGAGCGUCCUUCCAACAGCACGCUCCUCUCGGGAUACAACCCUGACGUGGCAUAGGAAGAGAUGUCUUUGAGUAUCCUGAUCCCAGACCUCUCCACGCAUCGUCUUGCACUUCGCCCCGCUGUCCGGAUCAUCUUUGGAAAACAUCGUUGCGCACACGUCUCAACAUUCCUCAGAAACCUCCAGUGGAGACCCGCCAUUCUUCGCAUCCAACAGAAACUUCCGAACACUGACUUGAAGGUAUUCCGUCGGCGGUCUCCGUGUCCUCCUCCCACUCCUCCCAGCUUGCUCGCUCCAUUCCUCUCCAGCUUACUGUCUCACUGCCUCCUUCUCCACUCUCCCACCACCAACCCCUGGCUCACACCCUUCCUCCUGCCUGGAACUCGGUCUCGCCUUCACAACAUCGCCAAGAUCCAUCCUUUCCUCUCCAUCCAAACCGUUACCACAUUAGAACAAGCACUCAUCCUAUCAUGA